UGAAUUACCUCGGGGUGUCCAUCUUAAAAAAUGGUCUGAGAAAAUACCCGUUAAACCUUGAACAGAUAAUGCUGUUUAGGAAAGGUAAGCGAAACAAAA
rnacentral:ncRNA from 1 species